CUGGGAGGCAGAAAAUACACCAUAAAUAACCAGUGUUUUUCAUUCUCUGAGUUACAGGUGCACAGACACAGCGGCUCUGAAACAAGAGUUCUGAAAUUUGCUCUUUAAAUUCCUUCUUGAGUACCCAAGUUGGAGAUUUGAAGAAACACAUCCAUGUGCUACAUGGAGAGAGAGAGAGAGAGAGACAGAGAGAGAGAGAGACCAAAGAUAAGCUCAAGUUAACUUCCAGCAUCACACAGACAUUGCCUCCCAGAAGAAUAAAACCAUAGAACACGACAGUGCUGGGGAUGGAACCCAGGACCUCAUGCAGCCUACACAAGCGCUCUACCACUGAACUAGACCUCCAGCUCCCAUAUCAGAAAUCGAAGCUGAGGGAAGCCUCUCAGAGUGCUGGGAUUACAGGUGUCCACCAUGGAGGAAUUGUAAUAUCAAAUUUGUCUCGUGAAGUGAGAGCAUC
rnacentral:lncRNA from 1 species